rnacentral:rRNA from 1 species
UACGAAGGGGGCGAGCGUUGUUCGGAAUUACUGGGCGUAAAGGGCGCGUAGGCGGCCCCUUUUGUCGCGUGUGAAAGCCCCGGGCUCAACUUGGGAGGUGCGCGCGAAACGGGGGGGCUUGAGUUCGGGAGAGGAGCGUGGAAUUCCCAGUGUAGAGGUGAAAUUCGUAGAUAUUGGGAAGAACACCGGUGGCGAAGGCGGCGCUCUGGACCGAGACUGACGCUGAGGCGCGAAAGCGUGGGGAGCAAACAGG